rnacentral:rRNA from 1 species
AUUUAAGCAUAUAAUUAAGCGGAGGAAAAGAAACUAACUAGGAUUCCCUCAGUAACGGCGAGUGAAGCGGGACUAGCUCAGGAUGUGAAUCUGCGCUCUUUUGGCGCCGAAUUGUGGUUUGUAGACUUUGACGUUAUUUGCCGGGCCAAGUUCCUUGGAAAAGGACAGCUGAGAGGGUGAGACUCCCGUCCGCCUGGGAGAAUGAGGCAUUUGUCAACGAGUCGAGUUGUUUGGGAUUGCAGCUCUAAUUUGGUGGUAAAUUCCAUCUAAAGCUAAAUAUUGGUGGGAGACCGAUAGCGUACAAGUACCGUGAGGGAAAGAUGCAAAGAACUUUGAAAAGAGAGUUAAAGAGUACCUGAAAUUGCUGAAACGGAAGCGAAGGAAACCAGUGUUUGUUUGUUCAUAUUUCCCUGGCCACUUGUGGUAUGGGCGCUGUGAGCUUGCGUGUGUUUGCGUUGGUUGAUCCCUUUGGAAGAGCGCAUUCAGAGUUGACGUCU